AGAAGGGAUAGAAGAGAGAUCAGAAGACAGAGGAAGACGUUUGCCUGGGACACUCUCAUGAGGGUUGUGAGUAUUAUCUUUUGAGCGGCUGGGAGGAUUAUGUUCAAAUCGGCUUGGUGGAUUAUCUUCAGAACGGCUGGGAGGAUUAUCUUCAGAGUGCCUGGAUUAUUUUUGGAGCCCUUUGAGGAUUAUCUUCAGAGCACCUGGGAGGAUUAUCUUCAGAGCAUCUGGGAAGAUUAUCUUCAGAGCAUCUGGGAGGAUUAUCUUCAGAGCAGCUGGAUUAUCUUCAGAGCAGCUGUGAGGAUUAUUUUCAGAGUGGCUUGAUUAUCUUCCGAGAGGUUGGAUUAUCUUCAGGUCGGAUGGGAGGAUUACCAUCAGAAUGGCUGGGAGGUGUAUCUUCAGGCUAUUGACACGUGUGGAUUAUCACAGAGGUUCGCGACACGUUUUGUUUUUAAAAUAAAAAAAUGCCUGAAAUUGAAACUGCUAGCGUAUUUAUGCAGCGGUCGGCUUUUUUAAAAACUGCACUGAAACUGCGCCGAACAUCCGCACGUGUAUCCAUAGCCUCAGAGCUGCUGGGAGAAUUAUAUUCAGGUCGGAUGGGAGGAUUUUCUUUGUUGUGAUUGAGCGGAUGAUCUUCAUAUGGACUGAGUGAAUUAUCCGCAGUGCAGAUGGGAGGAUUAUUUCCGGAGCGGUUGUGCGGAUUAUCUUCAUAGCGGCUGGGAGGAUUAUCUGCAAAGUGUCUAGAACGAUUCAUUUAGGAGCGGCUGGGAGGAUUAUCUUCAGAGUGGCUGUAGAGGAGCAUGGGGAUCUGGUCUAUUUCCAUGCCUAGAAGGUGCCUUGAUUGAAGAUUCUGGAGCCCAAAAGCAGUUUUGUAUCCCUUAUGUUCAAUCCCAGUACCUGAAAUGACAGACCAUGUGGGGGGUCUUCAAAGCUGCGAAAAGAC